AGUGAACGCUGGCGGUAGGCCUAACACAUGCAAGUCGAACGGCAGCACAGUAAGAGCUUGCUCUUACGGGUGGCGAGUGGCGGACGGGUGAGGAAUACAUCGGAAUCUACUUUUUCGUGGGGGAUAACGUAGGGAAACUUACGCUAAUACCGCAUACGACCUACGGGUGAAAGCAGGGGAUCUUCGGACCUUGCGCGAUUGAAUGAGCCGAUGUCGGAUUAGCUAGUUGGCGGGGUAAAGGCCCACCAAGGCGACGAUCCGUAGCUGGCCUGAGAGGAUGAUCAGCCACACUGGAACUGAGACACGGUCCAGACUCCUACGGGAGGCAGCAGUGGGGAAUAUUGGACAAUGUGCGCAAGCCUGAUCCAGCCAUACCGCGUGGGUGAAGAAGGCCUUCGGGUUGUAAAGCCCUUUUGUUGGGAAAGAAAAGCAGCAGGUUAAUACCCCGCUGUUCUGACGGUACCCAAAGAAUAAGCACCGGCUAACUUCGUG
rnacentral:rRNA from 1 species